rnacentral:rRNA from 1 species
GCUCAGCCCUAAACUUUGAUAAUCAAAUAACAAGAUUAUUCGCCAGAGAACUACUAGCAAACGCUUAAAACUCAAAGGACUUGGCGGUGCCCUAAACCCACCUAGAGGAGCCUGUUCUAUAAUCGAUAAACCCCGAUAGACCUUACCCCUUUUUGCCAAUACAGCCUAUAUACCGCCAUCGUCAGCUCACCUCAUUAGAGAAUUAAAGUAAGCAAAAAUAUUUAUCAUAAAAACGUUAGGUCAAGGUGUAGCAUAUAAAGAGGAAAGCAAUGGGCUACAUUUUCUAGCAUAGAACAUAAACGAAAUAUCUCUUGAAACCUGAAAUAUGCGAAGGAGGAUUUAGUAGUAAAUUAAGAAUAGAGAGCUUAAUUGAAUUAGGCAAUAGGGCGCGC